rnacentral:rRNA from 1 species
UAUUGGGCGUAAGGGCUCGCAGGCGGUUUCUUAAGUCUGAUGUGAAAGCCCCCGGCUCAACCGGGGAGGGUCAUUGGAAACUGGGGAACUUGAGUGCAGAAGAGGAGAGUGGAAUUCCACGUGUAGCGGUGAAAUGCGUAGAGAUGUGGAGGAACACCAGUGGCGAAGGCGACUCUCUGGUCUGUAACUGACGCUGAGGAGCGAAAGCGUGGGGAGCGAACAGGAUUAGAUACCCUGGUAGUCCACGCCGUAAACGAUGAGUGCUAAGUGUUAGGGGGUUUCCGCCCCUUAGUGCUGCAGCUAACGCAUUAAGCACUCCGCCUGGGGAGUACGGUCGCAAGACUGAAACUCAAAGGAAUUGACGGGGGCCCGCACAAGCGGUGGAGCAUGUGGUUUAAUUCGAAGCAACGCGAAGAACCUUACCAGGUCUUGACAUCCUCUGACAAUCCUAGAGAUAGGACGUCCCCUUCGGGGGCAGAGUGACAGGUGGUGCAUGGUUGUCGUCAGCUCGUGUCGUGAGAUGUUGGGUUAAGUCCCGCAACGAGCGCAACCCUUGAUCUUAGUUGCCAGCAUUCAGUUGGGCACUCUAAGGUGACUGCCGGUGACAAACCGGAGGAAGGUGGGGAUGACGUCAAAUCAUCAUGCCCCUUAUGACCUGGGCUACACACGUGCUACAAUGGACAGAACAAAGGGCAGCGAAACCGCGAG